GAUCUCUACAGUUUGAAGAAACUAGAGGAUGUAUUAUCCUACCAUUCCAGCUCUGCGCUUUAUUGACCUGGACGCCAUCACAAAACAAUGUGUAGAGAUCCUGUGUGCUGAAAACCCUAAUGUGUGGGGUCAUAGGAUUAUUGAAAUACUAGCUCAGGAUACUCCGAGUCAGAUAAGGCCACUAUUAGUGGAAAGAAUCUGCUUUGUACUUGGAGCCUACCUUAAUUCA